rnacentral:misc_RNA from 1 species
CAGCAUUAUUUGACAGGCGACAGGUAUGAUAAUAUAGUUCAUUAUUAUAUCCUCUGGAUAUCGCUGAAAUUAGAGUCCUAGCUUUUUUAUACAUCUACCAUUACAUGAUUGAAAUCUGUCUGAUGUAUUUUGCCAUUUUGCCUGCAAAUGCUAAAUUCUCUGUUUUAUGUGAUGGUGUUUUACUUGUUUUGCUAUUAGCCUUGCCCUUGCUUGCCAAAUCUCUUUCAAAAUCGUAGCUGACUAUAUUUUUGCCACAGGCAGAGAUGUGAAACGGUGGAUGGAAUGAUGCAUUAUGCAUUAUCUAUUAGCAACAAGGACAGAUAGUAGAAACCAUAGAUUCAGAAAUUGAGUUGUUUGUGUGGUCCGAUGAAAAUUAAAGAUCUGUAGAUGGUGGUGUGAGGUUUUGAAGUUGUAAAUUGUGCAGGGUAAUAUAAAUUUAACGAUAAAAAAAAAAAAAAAAUUAUGGUGGCAUGAUCAGGAUUGAUGUGGUCAGCACCUUUGGGCCUGAACUUUACGUUGGUUAGCUUGUUAUUGGUGAUUUGGGCACCAUUAUUGAUGCAAUCCCCUUGUUCUCCUUGAUUGGCUUCUCCAAAGCUUUUGUGGUUGUAAAAAUUGCCUCCUGGCAUGUUGGCUUAUGGAAAAUUUCUUUUCUGUUGGCAGGAUUAUGUGAAGCGGCAAACU